AUAAAUAUAAUAAAUUUUAAAGAAAGAAACAUAACAUCACAUAGAAGGUAAUGCGGAAAUGUUUGUUUUACAUGUGAAAGAGAUAAAUUAGGGUAAAGUAGCAAGAGUUUCAAGCUGAACAACUAUCUCAUCAAGCUAAAAAGACUGUCAUGAUAUGCUCUCAAGACUCAGCUGUAUCCUUGUCGUCACUGUGAUUCUGGGAUGAAAUAGCAUCAUUUGAACUCGAAGAACCCACCUAAAACAUCAGUAAAGAUCAAUACACAAGGCACUGAUAUUUCCAUAACAAGACACCACUAGUCAGGGAAAACCUUUUCCCAUUAGGAAUAAAAAUAAUGAAUAAAUCCUAACAAUUGCCUUUUUCUGAGAAAAAGAAGGCACACAACUAGGAUUAUUUUGUCAUUAAUUUUGAAUUCAACAUGUCAAACUAAGAAAAGAAGAGCAAAUGCAAAUUUUCGGAUGAAUGGUAUCAGUGAAGUUUACAAUCGAUUCAGGUUUCCUUCUUUUAAUAUUCUUUGUUAUGUAACUCUAUUUAUGUUGCUUUAUCUCAUGUUUAUAUGUGUAUAAUAUUGAGCAAAUUGCAUGAAAGCAACCCAAUCUACUUGUAGUUCCAUGCUCAACUAGUGCAGCUAUACUGAACUGGUCAUCUUUCACAAAGCAAACCAACAAUGUAUAAGCAAGAAGUGCAGAAAAAACAUGUUAUUUAAUGAUUAAAUGCUAAACUACGUAGCAAGACCUAUAUUAGUGUAAGUUCUUAAUUCACCCUAUGAAAGUGUGAAUCUAUAAAUUAAUAUAAGAAUCAUGACAUGUAGUGUUUUGCAACAAUGCUACAUUUAAAGUAUUUACAAUAUUAAGUAGCUAUUUCUCGUGCGAUGUCAAAUAACUUGAGUAUUAACAACCUCAGUAACAACACAACAAACUCAAUAGCUAGGCAACUUGCACAUGUAGCAUAAAGAACAUAAGUACACACAUGGGUGUAUUUUUUGGUGAAACAUAGUUUUACUUCAACAGAAGUAAUUUAUAUGUAUAAAUGAAUUAGAAAUAAUUAAUUUGUGUACAUUUCAAGGUAAUAUUAUUUGCUUAAAUGCCUAAUAGAGUAGAUUAGGAAAGUGGUAACAAGCACAAGGAAGCUAAAGUGGAAAUGAAUAAUAAUAAAAUUUGAUCAAAUGUAAAAAUUACCUUAUAUUGUAUAGCAAUCUCCGUCAUACGAACGAUCCUCCCAAUUUCCUCAUUCAUAGCCU
rnacentral:lncRNA from 1 species